GGGGUGUAGCUCAGCUGGUUAGAGCGCCUGCCUGUCACGCAGGAGGUCGCGGGUUCGAGCCCCGUCACUCC
rnacentral:tRNA from 3 species